rnacentral:tRNA from 1 species
UAGAAGAACAGGAAUUGAACCCGCACUUAAAGACUCAAAACCUUUUGUACUCCAUUAUACUAUCUCCUA